rnacentral:rRNA from 1 species
CGAACGCUGGCGGCGCGCUUAAUACAUGCAAGUCGAGCGAGAAAGUACCCUUCGGGGUGCGAGUACAGCGGCGAACGGGUGAGUAACACGUAAGCAAUCUGCCCCUAAAUCUGGGAUAACUCUGCCAACGCGGGGCUAAUACCGGAUGUGGUCACGACAUCGCAUGGUGUUGUGAUCAAAGAUGGCUUCGGCUAUCGUUUAGGGAUGAGCUUGCGGCCCAUUAGCUUGUUGGUGAGGUAACGGCUCACCAAGGCGACGAUGGGUAGCCGACCUGAGAGGGUGAUCGGCCACAUUGGGACUGAGAUACGGCCCAGACUCCUACGGGAGGCAGCAGUAGGGAAUUUUGCGCAAUGGACGAAAGUCUGACGCAGCGACGCCGCGUGAGGGAUGACGGCCUUCGGGUUGUAAACCUCUGUUGAGUGGGACGAAAACUCGCAGGGUUAAUACCCCUGCGACCUGACGGUACCACUCGAGGAAGCUCCGGCUAACUACGUGCCAGCAGCCGCGGUAAUACGUAGGGAGCAAGCGUUGUUCGGAAUCACUGGGCGUAAAGGGAGUGUAGGCGGGAAAGUAAGUUAGGAGUGAAAUACACAGGCUUAACCUGUGGCCCGCUUUUAAUACUGCUUUUCUUGAGUAUGGGAGAGGAAGAUGGAAUUCCAGGUGUAGCGGUGGGAUGCGUAGAUAUCUGGAGGAACACCAGUAGCGAAGGCGGUCUUCUGGCCCAAUACUGACGCUGAGGCUCGAAAGCUAGGGGAGCAAACAGGAUUAGAUACCCUGGUAGUCCUAGCCGUAAACGAUGGACACUAGUUGUCGGGGGAGUCAAUCCCUUCGGUGACGAAGCUAACGCAUUACGUGUCCCGCCCUGGGGAGUACGCUC